rnacentral:rRNA from 1 species
GUUUUUUAAUCGAUAACCCACGUUAUAUUUUACUUUAAUUAAAAAUUUAUAUACCGCCAUUAUAAGAACUAAUUAUAAAAAUAUUACUCUUAAUAAAAAAAUAAAAAGAUAGGUCAUGGUGUAAUUUAUGUUAAAGAUAAAAUGGGUUACUUUAAGGUCAUUUAAGAAUUAUUUUUUUAAAAAUAAAUAUAAAAAAGGAUUUAAUAGUAAUAUAUAUAAUUUAUAUAAAUGUGUAUAUAUAUUAUAUUUAUAUAUUAAAUAAUAAAAUAAAAUUUAUAUAUGAAUAAGAUAAUAAAUGUGCACACAUCGCCCGUC